UAGGGAAUCUUCGGCAAUGGACGAAAGCCUGACCGAGCAACGCCGCGUGAGUGAAGAAGGUUUUCGGAUCGUAAAACUCCGUUGUUAGAGAAGAACAAGGACGUUAGUAACUGAACGUCCCCUGACGGUAUCUAACCAGAAAGCCACGGCUAACUACGUGCCAGCAGCCGCGGUAAUACGUCGGUGGCAAGCGUUGUCCGGAUUUAUUGGGCGUAAAGCGAGCGCAGCCGGUUUCUUAAGUCUGAUGUGAAAGCCCCCGGCUCAACCGUGGAGGGUCAUUGGAAACUGGGGGACUUGAGUGCAGAUGAGGAGAGUGGAAUUCCCUGUGUAGCGGUGAAAUGCAUAGAUAUAUGGUCGAACACCAGUGGCGAAGGCGGCUCUCUGAUCUGUAACUGACGCUGAGGCUCGAAAGCGUGGGGAGCAAACAGG
rnacentral:rRNA from 1 species